rnacentral:lncRNA from 1 species
GCCACAGUUAUUGAAUGCAAAGUGACAUGUUUGCAAUGAUCUCAUUAUUUUUCUGUUUAUUCUAAUUUGAUAAUACACAUAUUUUUCUAUCAAUAUCUAUACUUCCUUAAACUUUUCUGGGGUAUUUUGUUUUCUUUUUCUAAAAGAUUGUAGUUUUCUCUUUCUUUAUUGGACGAUUUUUAUUUCUCAUAUAGUGAAAAGUAUUUUCUGGAAACAGAGGAUGCUAAACCACAAGGGCCACCUAAGAUGAAUCUCUGGUCAAGACAAGUCAAUUUUGACCUGGUGAAGGCACAGUGAAGUUGAUGGCAUUACUCUGAAGUGAAACCAUUGCAAAGAGUUGUAAGGCCAGGCUGCAGUAAUGUGAUGACUGGAAAAUAGCUCAAGUGGAAAUAAAAAAAGGACAUUGGAAACAGAAGUUACUUUUCUGAACUGAUUCAGAACUGAAUUCUCAGUUAUUGGUGUGAGUGCAAUGUUACAGCUCCUGAUGGUCUCAGUCUCAACCCAGCUUCUGUCUCAGGGCUAUGUCACUUACAGAACGUGCAGCAGGUACCAAGUCCUCCAGUACUGAGACAUAGGAG